AUUGAACGCUGGCGGCAUGCCUUACACAUGCAAGUCGAACGGUAACAGGUCUUCGGGUGCUGACGAGUGGCGAACGGGUGAGUAAUACAUCGGAACGUGCCUAGUAGUGGGGGAUAACUACUCGAAAGAGUGGCUAAUACCGCAUGAGAUCUACGGAUGAAAGCAGGGGAUCGCAAGACCUUGUGCUACUAGAGCGGCCGAUGGCAGAUUAGGUAGUUGGUGGGAUAAAAGCUUACCAAGCCGACGAUCUGUAGCUGGUCUGAGAGGACGAUCAGCCACACGGGGACUGAGACACGGCCCGGACUCCUACGGGGGGCAGCAGUGGGGAAUUUUGGACAAUGGGCGAAAGCCUGAUCCAGCAAUGCCGCGUGCAGGAUGAAGGCCUUCGGGUUGUAAACUGCUUUUGUACGGAACGAAAAGCCCCGGGUUAAUACCCUGGGGUCAUGACGGUACCGUAAGAAUAAGCACCGGCUAACUACGUGCCAGCCGCCGCAGUAA
rnacentral:rRNA from 1 species